GAGAAGGAGACAGACAGGCGAGGAGCUGAGGAAAUGCAGUCCAGGCAGAUGGAAGAGCCUGCAGGAUGGUCUCAAGGCAGGAGAAGCUUGGUGCAUCUGAAUUGUCAGAGGGCUGUUGUGCCCGGAGUUGUCAACGAUGGGGAGACUGAACCAUUUUGGUAGGGUUGCCAAGAUCAUGCAGAGCCUGAGUACAAUGCUCAGAGUUUAUUCUAAAUGAAAUGAGAAGCCAGUAAAGAAUUUAAAAUGGGGGAAAACAAGAUAUAAUUUUUGUUUGAAAAGAUUACUCUGGCCAGCCUGUGAAAUAACGACUGUAGGUGGGCUAGCAUUGAAGCAGGAAGGUCCAGUUGGAAAGCUUUGGCAGUAGUCUUAAAUGAUGGAUCAUGGCGGUUUGGAUGAAGGAGGGGACAGUGAAGACAGGGAAGAGAGAAUGUAUUCAAGACACACUUUGGAGGCUGCCACCAUUGCCAUGAAAAGGACAUGCCAGGAGAAGCAGCCUGAAUCCCAGAAUGAGGACCUGUGAAGCUGAACCCCCGCCCCCACCCCAGCUAACCCAUGGUCCCACAGUCAAGACAGAGCUGCCCCAGCUGAGCCACAGAUUGAUGACAACGAUUCACAGGAGCCAGUGGAGGAAGCCAAGUCCCCAGAAGAUGGUAGAACCACAUCUUCUAGGAAAGAACCUGGAUCCCUAAAUAACUAUGUGGAACACAGCCCUUGCUGCAACUUGCAAUUAACUGUGAUAUUAGCAAAUUAUACUAGUUAAGUAUACUAAGUUAUAUAUAUACUAUGUUAAGUCUUCAAGGUUGUUUGUUGCAGUCAUUAGUAUUAUUUGCCCUAGUUAAUACAUGGUCAGAGAUUAUUAGGUAGGAAAUAACAGGCUUUCUCUAAUUAUGUAAAUUAAAUAUUCAUCUACUUCAGUUUUGAUGUUUGGAUCUUUUCAUCUUCCCAGUUCUGAAACCUAUCUUAGUCAUUAGCAGUGAUUCUGGCCAAGGGUGGGGCUGGUGGAAGAUAGAGGCAUCAGGGUAGAUGGAGCCCUCAGACCCAAAUUUUUAUAAAAGCUACACAUCUCAUUCUUUGCCUUCUCUUGCCCAAUACCUGACGAAAACUUAGAAAGCAGAGCUAAAGUAAAAGGUGAGAGCAGAAGAGAAACAAUGGCAAUGACACCUAGACCAAUUUUUCCUUGGAUUGACCCAGAAUUGAUGGAAUGAGGGAGGCUUAGAUGUUGCUGCCUAUGCCUAUGUAACAUCCAGAAUUUUGCUGCCUUCAUACCCUGAACACAAAAGCUAGCCAGCCACAGGCUAGAGAUGUUACCAUGUUAAGGGCAAGACUAUAGAAUUCUUGCCCCUGCAGAAUAAGCCGUCAUUGAGGAAGGACCAUAGAUAGUAGCAGGACAUUCUCUGCUCUGGAGAAGACAGAGUCACUUUCCGCAUAGCAUAAGGGGCUCUACAUUCAGGAGAGGCUGAGAAAUCAUGGUGAUGAUCUGAGUUAAAUAAAUGGGUGGCAAACAUCUGACUCUCAUUUGUAAAUGAUUCUUGAGCAAGGAUUGCAAACUCAAAGGCCUCCCCAAGGCUAGGCUUGGACAGGAAAUACAAAUGUGUAAAGAAUGUGAGGUGUUUUCCUUUGUAUGUUAGACUUGGUUUUUUACUUCCCCACUUUCUAUAGAAAUGUGGACUCGGGAAUAUUUCAUCUUCCUCUAUAUUUUAAGGAAAACAUCCACACACACACAAAAAUGAAAAUGGCAGCGAUGCACUCAUUUCCGUAGGGAGGCAUUAAGGAGUAGCAGAGGCUGUGGCAAAGUAAAGAGCACACGACCUCCUGAUGUAGCAGGUCCUGCCCUGGGGACCAGCAGGAUUUAAUCUAUCUGGGAUGAUGAGCCCAACAUUUCUGAAUCUUUAGUUUUUUUCCAUAAAAUCUGGACAUAGAAAAUACACUAAACUAUUUUUAUGUGAUACCAUAUAUAUAUAUAUAAGACAUUAUGUGAGCUAAUAUUUUGUAGGUGAAACAGAACAACUCUAUAGAUUUGAUUGAGCUGAGAAGCUGCCCAUUUUCAACCUCUGCCAUACAAGCUAAUCCAGCCUUAGUGACCUCCAUUUCUUGGUAAGGGUGCAGAUAAGGUGAAAGAAAACUGGAAAUAUUCCUUCUCUACAAAGUUCCUAGGACCAGUUUUAUGAUCUGGAACUUGUGUGACUAUAGCAGCUCAAAAAAUGUAAUGCAAGUCAUAUACAUAAUUUCAAGUCUUCUAGAAGCCACGUGAAAAGACUAAAAAGAAACAGAUACAAUUAACUUUAGUAAUACAUCUUAUUGAGCACAAUAUAAUCAAAAUAUUUCAAUGACAUGUUUUACACUCAUAUGUUUUUACUAUAUAUACUUUUUUGAAAUCCAUACUUUUUUAUCCUUCAGCACAUGAUACUUUAGACUAGCCACAUGUCUAGUGUUCAGUGGCCACAUGUGGCUGCUGGCUUCUGUAUAAGAUAAUACAGGUCUGGUGCUGCUUUAGGAGGACAUUAUACCUGGGGUUUGAACAAACAACUCACAGGAAUCAUUGAAUGCAGUUCUUUCAAAGUGUGGUCAUUCACAAUAAAGAUUUCUGAGAUCUCACCUUCAAAGGCUGUGAUUUGGAAGCUCAGAGAUUAAGGCCGAGAAAUUGGCAUUGUUAAUGGGCAAUCCCAUUGGUACCAAGACAAGGUGAAAUUUGAGAAACACUGCCUUCUGGCCAUGGCAUAGACUUUGUUUUGUAUUUAUUAAUGUAUUUUGGCCUGAAUAAUUUUAUCAACUCAGAAUAAACCAGAAGUUGAUUAUUGCUAUGGAAUCAGAGCCAUGGUUGCUAUCAGCCAAUAAUUAUUAAAUCUCUCUUCCACCUGUGCAGUCUGAAGCACAUCAGGGCAACUCUCCCUCCUGGAAUAGAUUCUCCAUCUGAAACAAAAGCGGUGGCCCUCACCUAGUGCAUUGCUCCUCUUGGGGAUAAACCCUCUAUAAAUGGAAGUUUUGAGGCUGCCCUUUCUCUCUUGGAUUCAUCAUUAUGGUUUCUGAGCUUCAAAUCUUGACUUUUUUUUUUUUUUUUUAUAUUUGGUGGUGCCUCCAGGAUACAGAAUUUCCUGGGCCAGGCAUCCAAUCCGAGCUACAGCAAUGACAAGGCCAGAUUCUUAAUGGCUGGGCCACCAGGGAACUCUACCAUUGUUUCAUUUGGACUGCAAAUGGACAGGGCUACAUUUUAGUUGCUAUGCCUAGAUUCCCUGGUAUAUUUCUCCACCUGGAUAUUUUUGACUUGGUACAAGAUGUGGAAGGACAUCAGAUGACCAAGAGCCCCUGUGUGACCAAACUACAGAGGUGGAGUCCCAGAAUCACUCUGCCCAGCCCCCACGCACGUUCCUGCUGGAAGCUUACAGCCAAAUUUCCAGGCCUGCCCAUACAGCGCUUUCUUUGAGGGUGGAGGAUUCUGGUAUCCCCUUUAUCCUGGGACGUUCAGAAGCUUUACCAACUAUUUGAAAGUAUUACAGCACAGUAUCUUAAGCAAUUUUUUAAAUGCUUUGUCACUAAUUCCCCAGGGAAAGAUGACAGGUGAUUUUAAAUAUUUGACAGUGAGGGAAAUGAAAUCUGCCUGAGCCCCUGCCGGUGGUGGAGCAGGGGGAGGAAGCAGCGUUGGCAGCAAAGGGACCGGUUCCAGGGGUGCUGUGGGGGAGGGGGAUGCAGCCCUGGAUGUUGGCCUGCUCCUUCCACUUUCCUCCUCUCUCCCCUCCCCCUCUUCCUGUUGCUACUCCUACUUCCUGUUAUUAUGUAUCUUCCUGUCAGUUUCCCCGUGGCGCCCCACCCCCUACCCCAGUCAGGUCACAGGAAAUCUAAGCUCCUGAAAGACAAUUCUAUGAUACUAAUUACAUGUCUGGAAAAUGAUGCCCCAGUCUGCAGGUGGUACCCGCUAACAGCAAUCACUAUUACUAUUAUUAUUGUUAUUGUUAUAUUCUCACUGUAGCUUUCCAGGACUGAAUUAUCUUCCUUUGGUUUUGUUGCCAGGCUUUGUGUGCCUUCAUUUGCUUUUUGAUAAGGCAUUUUUCUUAUUCCUGUAUGCCUCCCUUUUUAUUCUUUACCCAGAGUUAAAUGUAGCCAAAAGAAUGCUCAGAUAGAUUAAGAGGCUCAGGAAAUAAAAGGUUGCUUUCAAUCCAAGCAGCAUUGAGUGACAGAAAUAUUAAUGAAAGGUGUGACAUUUUAAUGAUGUUCACACAAAUAUUUGAGGGCCUAUUAUGUGCCAGGCACUCCUCCAGGUUCUGCAGAUACACCAGUGAAUAGGACUGAAAAAAGUCUGUCCUUCUACUGCAGGAGGCAGACAAUAAAUAAGUUAUAAGCAAAACAUGUACCUGAGGUGAUAAAUGCCAUGGGAAAGGAGGGAGAGGGCAAGAGAGGGCUGGUGGGUGGUUCCAAUUUUAAUUAAGGUGUUUGGUAAAAACUUACUAAGUGACCUUUGAGCAAUGUUGACACCUUGGGACUUAAAAAACUCUUUUGCUUAGUAAAGCUUAUAAAAAAUGAUAGUAGAUGGACUUUAUAGUCUUAAAAUGUCACAUAUACAGUCGCUAAAUAUAAGCUUGUUCCUGGAAGACACCACCCCACUCUUGGAUUUUAUGACUUUGACCAUUUUAGCUCUCUAACGUCAAGUGGAGUAAUGCAGUAUUUAUUUUUUCUGUGACUGACUUCUUUUCCUUAGGAUAAUGCCCCCUACAUCCAUCCAUGUCACAAAUGGCAGAAGUUCCUCCUUUUUUAAGAAAGAAUAAUAUUCCACUAUAUGUAGCUGCCAGUUACUUUAUUCAUUCAUCCGUUGAUGGACAUUUAUGUUGUUUUCACAUCUUGGCUAUUGUGUAUAAUACUGCAAUGAACGUGUAAGUGCUAAUAUCUCUUUGAGAUCCUGUUUUCAAUACUUUUGGAUAACUACCUAGAAGUGGGAUUGGUGGGUCACCAGGUAGCUCUAUUUUUAAGUUGUUGAGGCUCUGUCAUACUGUUUUCCAUAGAAACUGUAUAACUUUGCAUUCCCAUCCAUAGUGUACAAGGAGUUUCUUUUCUCCAUAUCCUCACCAACACUUGUCUUUUUGGGGGGGGGGAAUAAUAGGCAUCCUUACAGGUAUGAGGUGAUAUCUCAUCAUGGUUUUGCUUUGCAUUUCUCUGAUGAUUAGUGACAUUGAGCAAUCUUUUCAUAUACCUAUCAGCCUUUUGCAUAUCUUUCUUGAAGAAAUGUUUACUCAAAUUCUUAGUCCAUUUUUAAAUCAGGUGGUUAGGUUUUUUGCUUUUUGCUAUUGAGUUGUAAAAGUUUAUGUAUUUUAGAGAUUAAGCCUGUAUCAGAUAUAUAAUUCACAAAUAUUUUCUCCUAUUCUGUGGGUUGCUUUUUCACUGUCAAUUGCUUCUUUUUCAAUAAAAAAAA
rnacentral:lncRNA from 9 species